UACGAAGGGUGCAAGCGUUAAUCGGAAUUACUGGGCGUAAAGGGUGCGUAGGCGGUUCGUUAAGUCUGUCGUGAAAGCCCCGGGCUCAACCUGGGAAUGGCCGUUGAAACUGGCGAACUGGAGUGUGGCAGAGGGGGGUGGAAUUCCGCGUGUAGCAGUGAAAUGCGUAGAGAUGCGGAGGAACACCGAUGGCGAAGGCAGCCCCCUGGGCUGACACUGACGCUCAGGCACGAAAGCGUGGGGAGCAAACAGG
rnacentral:rRNA from 1 species